UUGACCUCGGAUCAGGUAGGAUUACCCGCUGAACUUA
rnacentral:rRNA from 8 species